AGGCGCAUAGCUCAGGGGGAGAGCGCUACCUUGACACGGUAGAAGUCGGCAGUUCAAAUCUGCCUGUGCCUACCA
rnacentral:tRNA from 1 species